rnacentral:misc_RNA from 1 species
AAGUCGUAACAAGGUUUCCGUAGGUGAACCUGCGGAAGGAUCAUUAUCGUACAACCGAGGUGCAAAGGCUGUCGCUGGCCCUCAAAGGUCGUGCACGCCCGAGCGCUCUCACACAAUCCAUCUCACCUUUGUGCAUCACCGCGUGGGUCCCCUUUGCGGGAGGGCUUGCGUUUUCACAUAAAACUUGAUACAGUGUAGAAUGUUUCUUUUGCGGUCACACGCAAUCAAUACAACUUUCAACAACGGAUCUCUUGGUUCUG